AGCACUAAUGAUUGUGAGGAGGUUUGAAAUGGCAAGGCCAGUAAAGGACUGAGCAUUGUUUCACUGUGACAGCACCCAGUGUGAGACUGCCAACUACCAAUCCACUGUGGAAGUUAUUAUGUUAUUUGAUGUUCAAAAACUUGAAACUAUAGGCACCAACAUUGGAAGAGUUGAACUGAGAUGUGGAGAGAUCCUAAUACCAGCAGCAAUUAAUUCCUUUUUAUCAGGUUCUUCUGAUCAACUACAAUUGAGUUCAUGAGUACUGCUGAAAGCAAAAUUAUUACCAGAUUCAAUGACAACAUACCGUUGACUGCACUUGGAAGCUUUUCAAUGUAC